AUUGAACUGACGAGUCCCAAAUAGGACGAAAUGCGCAUCCUGGAU
rfam:Trichobilharzia regenti genome assembly, scaffold: TRE_scaffold0004405